rnacentral:rRNA from 1 species
AGGUCAAGCUAGUAAGGGCAUACGGUGGAUGCCUAGGCGCCAGGAGCCGAAGAAGGACGUGGUAAGCUGCGAAAAGCCACGGGGAGCUGCAAACAAGCGUUGAUCCGUGGAUUUCCGAAUGGGGGAACCCGGCGGCUGUAAUGAGCCGUCAUGGCCGUCUGAACCCAUAGGACGGUGCAGGGGAACCGGGGGAACUGAAACAUCUAAGUACCCCGAGGAGAAGAAAUCAAGCGAGAUUCCCUAAGUAGCGGCGAGCGAACGGGGAAGAGCCCAAACCGUAUUCGUGUUAAAGCCUACAGGCGUUGCGGGUACGGGGUUGUAGGGCCUGCUGGCUGGAGCUGUAGAUCCAGCGAAGCGAAAGCUUUGCUAGUCGAAUUGGCUGGAAAGCCAAGCCGAAGAGAGUGAAAGCCUCGUAGACGAAAGCGAAGCGGAGCUUGGCAGGUACCUGAGUACCGCGGGGCACGUGGAAUCCUGCGGGAAGCAGGGGGGACCACCCUCCAAGGCUAAAUACUCCCUGGCGACCGAUAGUGAACAAGUACCGUGAGGGAAAGGUGAAAAGGACCCCGGGAGGGGAGUGAAAAAGAACCUGAAACCGUAUGCUUACAAGCAGUCGGAGGGCUAUGGAUAAAACCAGCCUGACGGCGUACUUUUUGUAGAACGGACCGGCGAGUUACGCUAGCGGGCGAGGUUAAGUGUCUAAGGCACGAAGCCGAAGCGAAAGCGAGUCUGAAGAGGGCGAGAAGUCCGUUGGCGUAGACCCGAAACUGAGUGAUCUAUCCAUGGCCAGGUUGAAGCGGAGGUAAGACUUCGUGGAGGACCGAACCGACCAGUGUUGAAAAACUGGCGGAUGAGCUGUGGAUAGGGGUGAAAUGCCAAACGAACUCAGAGAUAGCUGGUUCUCCCCGAAAUAGCUUUAGGGCUAGCCUUACGUGGAGAUUACCGGAGGUAGAGCACUGAUGGAGCUAGGGGCCCAACAAGGUUACCGAACUCUUUCAAACUCCGAAUGCCGGUAAUUGGUGCGUAGGAGUCAGACUACGGGGGAUAAGCUUCGUGGUCGAGAGGGAAAGAGCCCAGACCGUCAGCUAAGGUCCCAAAAGCCAGACUAAGUGGGAAAGGAUGUGGGAUUGCCGAGACAACCAGGAUGUUGGCUUAGAAGCAGCCAUUCAUUUAAAGAGUGCGUAAUAGCUCACUGGUCGAGUGAUCCUGCGCCGAAAAUGUAACGGGGCUAAAGUCUGGUACCGAAGCUGCGGAUGGUUUUAGACCAUGGUAGGGGAGCGUUGCCUGUGCACAGAAGCAGUACCGGAAGGAGCUGUGGAGCGCAGGGAAGUGAGAAUGCCGGUAUGAGUAGCGAAAAGAAAGGUGAGAAUCCUUUCCGCCGAAAGCCUAAGGUUUCCUGAGGAAGGUUCGUCCACUCAGGGUUAGUCGGGGCCUAAGCCGAGGUCGAAAGACGUAGGCGAUGGAGAACAGGUUGAUAUUCCUGUACCACCCAGACACCGUUUGAGCGAAGGGGGGACGCAGGAGGGUAGGCCAUCCGGGUGAUGGAAGUCCCGGUCCAAGCGAGUAGGGAGCAAGGUAGGCAAAUCCGCCUUGCAGAGAUCCUGAGACGUGAAGGGGAGCUGCGAGAAAGCGGCGAAGUGGCCGAUCCCGCACUGACGAGAAAAGCCUCUAGCGAGGUGUCGGGUGCCCGUACCGCAAACCGACACAGGUAGGCGAGGAGAGAAUCCUAAGGCGCG